rnacentral:rRNA from 1 species
GAGGAAUAUUGGACAAUGGACGAAAGUCUGAUCCAGCCAUGCCGCGUGUAGGAAGAAUGCCCUCUGGGUUGUAAACUACUUUUAUAUGGGAAUAAACCCCUCGACGUGUUGAGGGCUGAAGGUACCAUAAGAAUAAGCACCGGCUAACUCCGUGCCAGCAGCCGCGGUAAUACGGAGGGUGCAAGCGUUAUCCGGAUUUAUUGGGUUUAAAGGGUCCGUAGGUGGAAUUGUAAGUCAGUGGUGAAAUCUUUCGGCUUAACCGGAAAACUGCCAUUGAAACUACAGUUCUUGAGUAUGCUCGAUGUAGGCGGAAUAUGUCAUGUAGCGGUGAAAUGCAUAGAUAUGACAUGGAACACCGAUAGCGAAAGCAGCUUACAAGCGCAUAACUGACACUGAGGGACGAAAGCGUGGGGAGCGAAC